AUGAAGAUGAGGCUCCUCGACGCACUCCGUUGCAUGCUUGCGCUGUCGUUGCUACGAACUGCAACGGCACGAGCAUCCAGUGUGCAAAGAAGCCAAGCCGGCUGCCAGGAGAGCUGUGGCAACCUGAGUUUCCAGUAUCCAUUCGGCAUAGGGGUGGGUUGCUUCCGGCCACCAGAGCGAGACUUUGAGCUCAUCUGCAACAACAUGCACGGUGCUUUGCAGUCCCCCAGACUAUUCCUGCACGACGGCAUCACGGAGGUCACCGGUGAUAUCAUCACCGGCGAUGCCAGACAAGAAAUCGAGGUAUCAUUUUCUCAUUCCCUCUCCGUGAGAUCUGAGGUCGACGCGUACAGCAUCACCUGGAAUCCUAGGAAAUCUCCCGGUAGAUAUGUUUCAGCACUAAGCUUCACUGGUUGCGACUUCGACAUGUACGUGCUAGAGCAUGGCACGAACAAGACGGUGGGUCAGUGCACUGCUACAUGCCCUGUCAAAGAUAUCACGGAUACGGUGGCUUGGCAGUAUUGCAACGGUACAGGAUGUUGCUUCACCAACGUCGAUGCCGAGUUUGCUACAGGCAUCGAGAUAAAGUUUGUCCGCCACAAGAUUGGACAGCUGAAGUUCCAAGCGAACAGCAACCGAAGCUCUAUAUGGCAUACAGUUGAUGUAACCGCUGAUUCCAUUAUUAUGUGGGGUAUCAUCGUUAAUGAACAUGGCCCCUUGCAAAACAGCACAGAUUAUGCAUGUCUCAGCAAACGUAGCAGCAGUCACCAGUUCAUAUCAUCUGUCGCUUAUGCUUGCGUGUGCGACAGUGGUUACCGAGGUAAUCCGUACAUAACUGAUGGCUGCUCGCGUGACAAAGGAUAUGAUCCAGUACAACGGAAGACCAACUGCUCUAGAUGGUGUGGGGAAAUCAAUGUCCCUUUCCCAUUUGGCUUAGAGGACGGUUGUUCUGCAAGGACGUCAUUUCAGCUCAAUUGUACAAAUUCGUCCACGUCUACCCUCCAGUUUCUUGUCGAGUCCUACGGUAUACACAACACUUAUGUAAAGUACAUAAAUAUCAUGAAGGGGCUAGUGAAUGUUAAAUACAGCUUAUAUGAUGAACAUGCCCAUUCGGUACGUAUACCUAAAGAUCCUGGCCUCUAUGUUACCUCCUGGGAAGUUGCAUCACAGCUGUGGGCUGUAGCCAAUUUAACAUGCCAGGAAGCACAGAAGAAUAGAACCGGAUAUGCAUGUGUUAGCAUUAAUAGCACAUGCUUGGGUGUCAACUCCGAACAAGUUUAUGUCGGUUACCAUUGCAAAUGUAUGGCCGGCUUUUAUGGGAAUCCAUAUAUAGCGGAUGGGUGUCAAGAUGUUGAUGAGUGCAAGAUACCAGACACAUGUAAUUGGAUUUGCCAUAACACUGUAGGAAGUCAUUAUUGCACCGAAUGUCCUAGCAAUACAGUGUACAACACAGCAACAAAGACAUGCACAUCAAUCAAACAAAAUCUGGUACUAGGUAUCACCAUUGGGAUUACCGUUGGUUUCGGAACUCUACUUCUCAUCUUAAUUGUAAUAUUUUCCAUUCUUAUAUGGAGAAAAGGCAUCCAGAAGCAACUACGAAGAAAGCAUUUUCGGCAGAACCAAGGUCUACUCCUUGAACAAUUGAUAUCAUCAGAUGAAUAUGCGAGUGACAACACUAAGAUUUUCUCACUAUCAGAGUUAGAAAAGGCAACAAAUAACUUUGAUCCCACACGUAUUGUUGGUCGUGGAGGGCAUGGCAUGGUUUAUAAAGGCAUCUUAUCCGACCAACGGGUAGUAGCCAUAAAGAAGUCUAAAGUCAUUGAGCAGGUUGAGAUAAGCCAGUUUAUCAAUGAGGUUGAUGUCCUCUCCCAGGUAAAUCACCGGAAUAUUGUGAAGCUCUUCGGUUGUUGUCUUGAGACAGAAGUCCCACUGCUAGUGUAUGACUUCAUCCCUAAUGGUUCAUUAUUUGGAAUCCUUCAUCCCAGUACCACUAGCAGCUCUGUCUUGUCAUGGGAUGAUUGUUUGAAAAUUGCUGCAGAAGCUGCUGGAGCACUCUAUUACCUCCACUCAGCUGCUUCAGUAUCAAUAUUCCAUCGUGAUGUGAAGUCCACUAACAUACUCUUAGAUGGAAAUUACACUGCAAAAGUAUCAGAUUUUUGCGCUUCAAGGUUGGUUCCUAUUGACCAAACUCAUGUCGUUACAAAUAUACAAGGCACAUUUGGAUACUUGGAUCCAGAAUAUUACCACACGGGUAUAUUGAAUGAGAAGAGUGACGUCUAUAGUUUUGGCGUAGUACUUGUAGAGUUGCUGCUCACGAAGAAGCCUAUUUUUACAAGUGACUCUGGGCUAAAGCAAAACUUGUCCAACUACUUCCUUUGGGAGAUGAGGGAGAAACCACUCGCAGAAAUAGUAGCUACUCAAGUUCUGGAGGAAGCAACAAUUGAAGAGAUUAAUGAUGUCUCUAGUCUUGCAGAGACUUGUUUGAGACUACGAGGCGAAGAGAGACCUACAAUGAAACAAGUCGAAAUGAAAUUGCAGUAUGUGCGAUCCAAAAGGUUGAGAGCAUGCCAGGUUGCUGUGACAAAUGAAUACAUGCAACCCUUAAUAUGUGGACAAAGCCAAGACACUCUUCUGAUGUUGACUACUCCGAGUGGUAUAGCAGACAGAGUUAAUAUAGCUUCUCAAAGGAACCAAAAUUGCUACAGCUUGGAGCAAGAGUUCAUGGCAUCGGCGACUCUCCCACGCUAG
rnacentral:rRNA from 1 species